rnacentral:tRNA from 1 species
GGACAGUAGUUCAGUGGCAGAGCAUGUGUCUUCCAUGCAGAAGGUUCUGGGUUCAAUUCCUGGCAUUUCCA